rnacentral:rRNA from 1 species
GGAGGUAGUGACAAUAAAUCACAAUGCGGGACUAUACGUCUUGCAAUUGGAUUGAGAACAAUGUACAACUCUUAUCGAUAAGCCAUUGGAGGGCAAGUCUGGUGCCAGCAGCCGCGGUAAUUCCAGCUCCAAUAGCGUAUAUUAACGUUGUUGCAGUUAAAAAGCUCGUAGUUGAAGUGUGGGUGAUCGCUGUUGUGAGACUUCGGUCUCUCGACAGUAAGUCACCCCCUUCCAGUAUCCAGUAGUGGGUAUUCAGUUACUUACUAUUGUGUGUUGGUCAUUUACUGUGAGAAAAUUGGAGUGUUCAAAGCAGGCGUUUGCUUGAAUAGAUUAGCAUGGAAUAAUAAUUGAAGGCUUUCGUGUUCGAUUUGAUUGGUUUGUUCAUGGAAGCAAGGUUAAAAGGAACAGUUGGGGGUAUUCAUAUUCACUAGUUAGAGGUGAAAUUCUCGGAUUUAUGGAAGAUGAACAAGUGCGAAAGCA